AGCUUUGCACAGUGGCAGUAUCGUAGCCAAUGAGGUUAAUCCGAGGGACAAUAUUGCUAAUUGAAAACUUUUCCCAAUACCCCGCCAUGACGAUUUGCAACAUGGUCGGCACUGGCAAUUUUUGACAGUCUCUACAGAGA
ensembl:snRNA U4 U4 spliceosomal RNA